AUGCUGGCAAACCGGAGUUGGGGAAGUGGAGCUUCACGAUUACACACGAGUUCAUUAGAAAUAGCACUUCGUGGCCUGCGCGAGGAGAGCCCUCAGAAGCCGCUCUGGAUGCGCGUUCCUCGGCCAGGAGCCGCCAACCCCGCACCCUGCAGAGCCCCGACGCUCUGCAGAGCAGAGGGAACGGGGCGCUGCUCUCCCGCAGCUGCGGUGGAGUUACCGGAGCUCCGACGGGGAAAUCUUUACGAUUAUUCAGGCGUGGGCCCAAUAUCGGCAGUCACCAUCCUGCUGCUCCCACUGCCCGAACGCACCGGGACGGCUUCCCAGAGGAUAAAUGUCACCGCGAGCUGCAGCAGCAGAAGCCGGGGGCGCGGGCGGCCAGGCUUGAGAACGCACCUGGCAGGAAGAUUUCAGAAACCCAACGGAGGGGCUGCGUUAACAGACGAGCCUGUUUGA
rnacentral:lncRNA from 1 species